UACAGAGGUCCCGAGCGUUGUUCGGAUUCAUUGGGCGUAAAGGGUGCGUAGGUGGCGCCGUAAGUGGGGUGUGAAAUCCCGGGGCUUAACCCCGGGACUGCAUUCCAUACUGCGGUGCUUGAGGACUGGAGAGGAGACUGGAAUUUACGGUGUAGCAGUGAAAUGCGUAGAUAUCGUAAGGAAGACCAGUGGCGAAGGCGAGUCUCUGGACAGUUCCUGACACUGAGGCACGAAGGCCAGGGGAGCAAACGGG
rnacentral:rRNA from 1 species